GAGAAGAUAGGCUAAAACUGUCGUAAGGCAGUGGCAGAAAGUCGCGGAUCCUGACACCCAUUAUCAGGAAAGUAGUCGAACUACCGAU
rnacentral:ncRNA from 1 species